rnacentral:rRNA from 1 species
UACGGGGGGGGCAAGCGUUGUUCGGAAUUACUGGGCGUAAAGGGCUCGUAGGCGGCCAACUAAGUCGGAUGUGAAAUCCCCAGGCUCAACCUGGGAACUGCAUCCGAUACUGGAUGGCUUGAAUUCGGGAGAGGGAUGCAGAAUUCCAGGUGUAGCGGUGAAAUGCGUAGAUAUCUGGAGGAAUACCGGUGGCGAAGGCGGCAUCCUGGACCGACAUUGACGCUGAGGAGCGAAAGCCAGGGGAUCAAACGGG